GGAACAAUCGUUUGCCGAUUGUUCCCUUGGUGGAUUGUUGCCUCCUUUGUUUUUGUUUUUUUAAUUGCUGGCGAGUUGACGUCUGUUGGAUGGCGUCAAACUUCGUCAGUCAGGUUCUGGAGGGCAGAACAACCAGUCAGGUUCUGGAGGGCAGAACAACUAGUCAGGUUCUGGAGGGCAGAACAACCAGUCAGGUUCUGGAGGGCAGAACGACCAGUCAGUCAGAGGCAGUCAGGUAUGAUUACCUGUGGACCAGCAUGAGGCAGCGCCAGGUACUGGAUACCUGGUUAUUUGGUUGAAGUCGUCGUAUGGAGUAUGACUUCGAGUUGGAGGUAGACAGCAUUGGCGUGUUUUCGUCGUCGAGAGGACGACGUGUCGAGUGCGACCUCACUGGGCAGCAGCAAUAGCGUGUUUUCGUCGUGAAGAGGACGACGUGUCGAGUGCGACCUCACUGGGCAGCAGCAGUGACGUGUUUUCGUCCAGUGGUCGAGGAGGACUUCCAUACUGCAUCUGAGGACGAGAUGGUUGUUGCAUCAACUCUGUCUUGAUCGUCCAGCAUUCGAGGAGGAUGUCCAUAUUGUCUCCAAGGACGAGGUGGUUGUCGUAUCGGCUCUAUCUUGAUCGUUCGGCAUUGGACAGUUGUCCUCAUUGUUUGAGGAAGUGUUCCCGUUUUUCUCUUAGUAUCAUUAUGCCGCUUUAGUGUUUAAUUCUCAUUUAUUAUUAUGCUGCUGUUUUUACAUUUAUUGUAAUCUUUAUUUCACUGCUUUUUCAAUGUUUUUGUGUUUUUGCCACCCAGAACCUUGACUCACUGUACAUAAUGUAUUUAACUCUUGUAAAUAAAUUAAUUUUAAGGUAACUUUUUUUUAUUUUGUUAUGCUCCUCCCUCCUUUGUUUGUCACCUGUCAUCAGUCAUUACAGCCCAAUUGCUUAUUAUUUUUAAGAACCUGUCGAUCUCGAGAGUCGAGAUCGUAAUAUUGGCGACCUUGCCAGGAUUGGUUCUGUUUUGGCUGACGGGGGUGUGGCAGCAUCGGGGAAGAGUAUUUUGUUUGUAAAAAAAAAAAUUAAUAAUGAUAAUUUUUUUUUUUCUGUUAGGUGGGUAGGUGUUAGGAACAAUCGUUUGCCGAUUGUUCCCUUGGUGGAUUGUUGCCUCCUUUGUUUUUGUUUUUUAAUUGCUGGCGAGUUGACGUCUGUUGGAUGGCGUCAAACUUCGUCAGUCAGGUUCUGGAGGGCAGAACAACCAGUCGGGUUCUGGAGGGCAGAACAACCAGUCAGGUUCUGGAGGGCAGAACAACCAGUCAGGUUCUGGAGGGCAGAACGACCAGUCAGUCAGAGGCAGUCAGGUAUGAUUACCUGUGGACCAGCAUGAGGCAGCGCCAGGUACUGGAUACCUGGUUAUUUGGUUGAAGUCGUCGUAUGGAGUAUGACUUCGAGUUGGAGGUAGACAGCAUUGGCGUGUUUUCGUCGUCGAGAGGACGACGUGUCGAGUGCGACCUCACUGGGCAGCAGCAAUAGCGUGUUUUCGUCGUGAAGAGGACGACGUGUCGAGUGCGACCUCACUGGGCAGCAGCAGUGACGUGUUUUCGUCCAGUGGUCGAGGAGGACUUCCAUACUGCAUCUGAGGACGAGAUGGUUGUUGCAUCAACUCUGUCUUGAUCGUCCAGCAUUCGAGGAGGAUGUCCAUAUUGUCUCCAAGGACGAGGUGGUUGUCGUAUCGGCUCUAUCUUGAUCGUUCGGCAUUGGACAGUUGUCCUCAUUGUUUGAGGAAGUGUUCCCGUUUUUCUCUUAGUAUCAUUAUGCCGCUUUAGUGUUUAAUUCUCAUUUAUUAUUAUGCUGCUGUUUUUACAUUUAUUGUAAUCUUUAUUUCACUGCUUUUUCAAUGUUUUUGUGUUUUUGCCACCCAGAACCUUGACUCACUGUACAUAAUGUAUUUAAUUCUUGUAAAUAAAUUAAUUUUAAGGUAACUUUUUUGAUUUUGUUAUGCUCCUCCCUCCUUUGUUUGUCACCUGUCAUCAGUCAUUACAGCCCAAUUGCUUAUUAUUUUUAAGAACCUGUCGAUCUCGAGAGUCGAGAUC